rnacentral:lncRNA from 1 species
AAGUGAUCUAACUCUAUUGAUGAGCACGACAGUACAUACCAUCCCAUCAUGAUGUUGCCAUCUCUCACACUUGAUGAUUACAUCUUGUUAUUUCUAACAUGUACACCAUCGGGCCAUUGCUUUAUUAGAAAUAUAUUUACACAAUAUGAUGAGAGCAACAUCAAGGAGUCGGAUGCUGGUGCACAGAUUCUCCUCAAAUUCCACAUGCAACCCUUGUAGAGAAGAAUGACAUAUUUUUCUUAGGUGAUUUUUGACCGAGCUCCUACAGAAAAAUUCAAACAAAUCAUGAGGAGCAUGGAGCCAAGCAAACUAAUCAGAGUAAAUCAUGAGAGGAGAAGCCUCUCAACCUACUACAGGGAAUCGAGUCAACAUUAAUUCGUGUAAGAAUUAAACCGUAAUGUAGAUCAACAACCCAGUAGUUGAUAAAAUAACCCUGACACAACCCAUUAAUACAAUAUAUGGUCACAGGAAGUAGAUUGAGAUUGUGCAGAUAUCAUGAUCUACGAACCGUAUCUACGAAUAUUGAUUGCAAAGUCACAAAUAGAACCUCCUCACAUCACAAAACAAAUGUUUCAUCAACAGAAACUCUAGCGAAUGCCAAUUGGAUUAUAUAAGUAAGAUAGAGACAUCGAAAAAAAGAAAAGAUAAUUCAAAGAGUAUAUAUUCUAUUUUAUUACUUGACAUCACAGAGAAUGCAAGUCAAAGAUAUUGCGAUACAUCUUACACUUCUAUAAAUUGACUGCAAGGCACAACCCCUAGCAAAAUAUACAGAAUGAAUUGCUCCUGUGAUCCAAGUAUUGCAUAAAUAGUUGUAUACAGACUAUUCAAUAGUGAGCAUAAACAUGGCAUGUACUAACAAAAUCCCUUUGCAAUGGAGCUUAGUCUGCAUGUCUAUCCGUCUUUUUGUAAAUCAGUUGUGGCCAAGAUGUGCUGACAGCUCACAAGCCUCUCCCCGUUUACCAAUAAAACCAAAGCAGCUCAAAGCAAAAAAAAGAACAUAGAUAUAUGAACCUGAUGCAAUUGCUUGUAACUCCAGAGUGUUGGUAGAGUCGAGAAGAGAACACUCAGCCAAUGUUACAGCAGAUCGAUCUGUAGUCUUUGUUAGGGACGGCACCAUCAUUAGAGGUCCCAAUUGUAAAUCAAUCUGCAAGAGAUGGAGAUGCAACUGGAAGCUUACGGAUUUGAUGCAUUAAAACAGCCAUGGCCCAUGGGCAGAGGAGAAGUGACGGCAGCUGGGGAUCUGACGUGUCACAGACAGCAUGGGUAGAGGAGAGGCGGCGGCAGAUCAAGCCUUGGGCGUGGCAGGCGGAAGCACACUCACCCCUAUUGCACCCUUCCUACUUCCCCGUCCUUCUUCUCCUACCUCUCCUCCUCCCUGGAUCCUCCUAUGUCUCUCUUUUCUACAAGAAAAAUCGAAGCCCCGCCAUGACCUUGAGCUCCCCCUACCAACCAUAGAAAUUAGAUAUUUCCUAAUUGUUUGCAUAAAAAACAUACUGGCUGCAAGAGAAUGAAAGACUAACCUAUUGAUGAGCACAACAGUACAUACCAUCCCAUUAUGAUGUUGCCAUCUCUCACACUUGAUGAUUACAUCUUUUUAUUUCUAACAUGUACACCACCGGGCGAUUGCUUUAUUAGAAAUAUAUUUACACAAUAUGAUCAGAGCAACAUCAAGGAGUCGGAUGCUGGUGCACAGAUUCUCCUCAAAUUCCACAAGCUGAAAUUGAAGAGAAAACUGAAAGAAAGCUAUUAGUAACACCAAUUUAACCAGACACACCACACCACUAAUGACAAAAUAAAAAUUUAGAAGUUCCUAAAGAGGCCUUAUAUAUAAGAAGUGCAAGAUAGUGAUGAAACUACCAAAGC